rnacentral:rRNA from 1 species
CAGUCGCCACGGUAAUACGUAGGUGGCAAGCGUUAUCCGGAAUUAUUGGGCGUAAAGCGCGCGUAGGCGGUUUUUUAAGUCUGAUGUGAAAGCCCACGGCUCAACCGUGGAGGGUCAUUGGAAACUGGAAAACUUGAGUGCAGAAGAGGAAAGUGGAAUUCCAUGUGUAGCGGUGAAAUGCGCAGAGAUAUGGAGGAACACCAGUGGCGAAGGCGACUUUCUGGUCUGUAACUGACGCUGAUGUGCGAAAGCGUGGGGAUCAAACAGGAUUAGAUACCCGGGUAGUCCCUGUCUCUUAUAC